rnacentral:rRNA from 1 species
AGUGAACGCUGGCGGUAGGCCUAACACAUGCAAGUCGAACGGCAGCACAGUAAGAGCUUGCUCUUACGGGUGGCGAGUGGCGGACGGGUGAGGAAUACAUCGGAAUCUACUUUUUCGUGGGGGAUAACGUAGGGAAACUUACGCUAAUACCGCAUACGACCUACGGGUGAAAGCAGGGGAUCUUCGGACCUUGCGCGAUUGAAUGAGCCGAUGUCGGAUUAGCUAGUUGGCGGGGUAAAGGCCCACCAAGGCGACGAUCCGUAGCUGGUCUGAGAGGAUGAUCAGCCACACUGGAACUGAGACACGGUCCAGACUCCUACGGGAGGCAGCAGUGGGGAAUAUUGGACAAUGGGCGCAAGCCUGAUCCAGCCAUACCGCGUGGGUGAAGAAGGCCUGCGGGUUGUAAAGCGCUUUUGUUGGGAAAGAAAAGCAGCAGGUUAAUACCCCGCUGUUCUGACGGUACCCAAAGAAUAAGCACCGGCUAACUUCGU